ACACACACCAACAAAGACCAAAUGGUCAGAAUUCUCCAUGAGUUAACCCUGUGGACCCUUACAUUUUGCUAUAAAUAUUACUCUCCCACCACAAACUGCAUCGCAAAGAAAAUCAGGGUAACCUCCCCAACAAUUCAUAACUCAUGCAUGCUCCCGUGAUGCCAAGGGCGCAUCGAACAACCAAGAUGUCAAGAGCUACACCCCCCUCGCGAUGCAAAAACAAGCUCCCACUCCUAUAUCUUCAUAACCGACUCCAUGCAUGGGAUUGGGUGAAAUUGGCAAAAAAUAUAUCAACCUUGUAAGAAUCUGACUACCAGGAUCCUCGCCGUCCUUGCAUGCCGCGGCAAAUUUCACGUUUAGGAAGGCCGCGGCGACUAGCAAGCUAGCCACUCUACCAAUGUGUCUAGCAACAACCCAUGCAAGGUUCUGAGUACGAUCGCACUGGACAUUUUGUGGAAGAGCAAGGGAUCACGAUUUGCAGUUCGAGUGCCAUCAGUUCGAGUCGCCAAAGAAACAAGCAAAAUCAAUCCAAACCCAAAUCGUAAAGAAGACUUCCGCUCACCGUCACUCUCUCUGGGCAGAUUGAUCAAUAAAAAUGAGGUGGCAGUAAAAAAACUUCUUAAAAAAUAGAACAAGAAGAGAGAAUUCAUAAUUGAAGUGGAGGCUAUAGGUCAUGUUAGAGAUAAAUAUCUUGUGUGCCUGUUUGGAGGGAGUUAAACAGAGUAAUGGAUGCA